GCGCCCGUAGCCCAAUUCGGCAGAGGCACAGGAUUUAGGUUCCUGCCAGUGUGAGUUCGAGUCUCACCGGGCGCA
rnacentral:tRNA from 1 species